rnacentral:rRNA from 1 species
GCGGCGGACGGGAGAGUAACACGUGGGUAACCUGCCUGUAAGACUGGGAUAACUCCGGGAAACCGGAGCUAAUACCGGAUAGUUCCUUGAACCGCAUGGUUCAAGGAUGAAAGACGGUUUCGGCUGUCACUUACAGAUGGACCCGCGGCGCAUUAGCUAGUUGGUGAGGUAACGGCUCACCAAGGCGACGAUGCGUAGCCGACCUGAGAGGGUGAUCGGCCACACUGGGACUGAGACACGGCCCAGACUCCUACGGGAGGCAGCAGUAGGGAAUCUUCCGCAAUGGACGAAAGUCUGACGGAGCAACGCCGCGUGAGUGAUGAAGGUUUUCGGAUCGUAAAGCUCUGUUGUUAGGGAAGAACAAGUGCAAGAGUAACUGCUUGCACCUUGACGGUACCUAACCAGAAAGCCACGGCUAACUACGUGCCAGCAGCCGCGGUAAUACGUAGGUGGCAAGCGUUGUCCGGAAUUAUUGGGCGUAAAGGGCUCGCAGGCGGUUUCUUAAGUCUGAUGUGAAAGCCCCCGGCUCAACCGGGGAGGGUCAUUGGAAACUGGGAAACUUGAGUGCAGAAGAGGAGAGUGGAAUUCCACGUGUAGCGGUGAAAUGCGUAGAGAUGUGGAGGAACACCAGUGGCGAAGGCGACUCUCUGGUCUGUAACUGACGCUGAGGAGCGAAAGCGUGGGGAGCGAACAGGAUUAGAUACCCUGGUAGUCCAC